AUUGAACGCUGGCGGCAUGCCUUACACAUGCAAGUCGAACGGUAACAGGUCUUCGGAUGCUGACGAGUGGCGAACGGGUGAGUAAUACAUCGGAACGUGCCUAGUAGUGGGGGAUAACUACUCGAAAGAGUGGCUAAUACCGCAUGAGAUCUACGGAUGAAAGCAGGGGAUCGCAAGACCUUGUGCUACUAGAGCGGCCGAUGGCAGAUUAGGUAGUUGGUGGGAUAAAAGCUUACCAAGCCGACGAUCUGUAGCUGGUCUGAGAGGACGAUCAGCAACACUGGGACGGAGACACGGCCCAGACUCCUACGGGAGGCAGCAGUGGGGAAGUUUGGACAAUGGGCGCAAGCCUGAUCCAGCAAUGCCGCGUGCAGGAUGAAGGCCUUCGGGUUGUAAACUGCUUUUGUACGGAGCGAAAAGCCCUGGGUUAAUACCCUGGGGUCAUGACGGUACCGUAAGAAUAAGCACCGGCUAACUACGUGCCAGCCGCCGCAGUAA
rnacentral:rRNA from 1 species